rnacentral:lncRNA from 1 species
AUGUCGGAUAGGCUGCUAUUAUAGUCGAAAUUAGGGGAUUUGGAAGUUGAUGAUAUGUUAAGAUAGGAUUGGGAUCUGGAUAUGUUAGUUUGGUAUAUUAAAGUUCAGAUUUGAUGCAUAACUGUUGUUUUUAAUCUAUAAUAAAAGGAUGUUAUGACUAUGAUUGGUGAAAAUUGAUGGUAAUUUCAUUGAUUGAUCUGAUAUGAUAUUCUGUUGAAAAGGAUAUUAUAAGUUUGAACUGUAUAAUAAUGUGAUGAGAGUUAUUCAAGCUUCUAACAUUACAUUGAUGCAUGCGUUUCAGGUGGGCCUUACUAUGAAGGUUAGCACUAUUCAACUGGUCCCUUAGAAAUGUUUGUUUUUGACACAAGUGGAUCCUAAAUUGGAACAAUAGCAAAGAUCUCAUCAUUUCUUUGUAAUUAUUUAAUGAUAUGAGUAUUCUACUACUCUAUAAUAAGUGGGAGUGAGGUUAGCAAAAGUUGAUGGUGAUGGCGAUGGUCACUGGUGGAUACCACAUAUACUAAAUUAUUAUUUUACAGUAAUAUUUUUUACUGUUCUAUGAAGUUGUUU